rnacentral:rRNA from 1 species
UACGGAGGAUGCAAGCGUUAUCCGGAAUGAUUGGGCGUAAAGCGUCCGCAGGUGGCUUUGUAAGUCUGCUGUUAAAGAGUGAGGCUCAACCUCAUAAGAGCAGUGGAAACUACAAGGCUAGAGUACGUUCGGGGCAGAGGGAAUUCCUGGUGUAGCGGUGAAAUGCGUAGAGAUCAGGAAGAACACCGGUGGCGAAAGCGCUCUGCUAGGCCGUAACUGACACUCAGGGACGAAAGCUAGGGGAGCGAAUGGG